rnacentral:rRNA from 1 species
AGUGAACGCUGGCGGUAGGCCUAACACAUGCAAGUCGAACGGCAGCACAGUAAGAGCUUGCUCUUACGGGUGGCGAGUGGCGGACGGGUGAGGAAUACAUCGGAAUCUACUUUUUCGUGGGGGAUAACGUAGGGAAACUUACUCUAAUACCGCAUACGACCUACGGGUGAAAGCGGGGGAUCGUCGGACCUUGCGCGAUUGAAUGAGCCGAUGUCGGAUUAGCUAGUUGGCGGGGGAAAGGCCCACCAAGGCGACGAUCCGUAGCUGGUCUGAGAGGAUGGUCGGCGACACUGGAAGUGGGCCAGGGUCCAGACUCCUACGGGAGGCAGCAGUGGGGAAUAUUGGACAAUGGGGGCAAGCCUGAUCCAGCCAUACCGCGUGGGUGAAGAAGGCCUUCGGGUUGUAAAGCCCUUUUGUUGGGAAAGAAAAGCAGCAGGUUAAUACCCCGCUGUUCUGACGGUACCCAAAGAAUAAGCACCGGCUAACUUCGUG